CCCUUAGAUGAUUUGGGCUGCACGCGCGCUACACUGAGUAAUUCAAUGGGUAAGGGAACGCUAGAGCAUUACCUAAUCUUGAAAUUUGCUCGUGAUGGGGAUCGACGGUUGCAAUUUUCCGUCGUGAACGAGGAAUACCUUGUAGGCGCAUGUCAUCAUCAUGCGCCGAAUACGUCCCUGCCCUUUGUACACACCGCCCGUCGCUCCUACCGAUUGAGUGAUCCGGUGAGGCUCUGGGACCUGGACGGAAAGAGCGUUUCGCUUGUUCUGUUUGGGAAACUUGGUCGAACCUUAUCAUUUAGAGGAAGGAGAAGUCGUAACA
rnacentral:rRNA from 1 species